rnacentral:piRNA from 1 species
UCCUCUUGCUCCAGCAACCUCUCCUCUUGC